AUCUCUCCAUCCUUUUGUUAUUAGUUGUUACUAGAAGCCUAGUGUCAUUUGGAGGCUGGUUCUCUUGAGAGACAAAGCCAUGGAGCUGACACUGACAAUGGCCUUUUUGUUCCAAGAAAGGCCUCCUGGUUUAGCUGUGUGACUAAAUGCUGUUUGCCCUCUUCGGUAGACUCUAUUCUCAAGAUUCUCUUGUUUUCUCACCAUCCCAUUUGAUAUGCUUGUUAGUAACUGUUACAGGUCUUCUUUACCACCGAUGAAAGACGGAAUCCUACUGGAGACCAGAAAAAAAUGUUCCAGACACGGAUAGAAGGCCCUCACUUCUGCCUGCUCUCUUCAGACGCCUGAAGGACUUAAACUGUGAUAGAGUGGCUGAUGUUCUGCCUUUGAAUAGAGUGUCCCAAAAGAUGGGACCACUGGUUAGCUGCCAUGGACUAGAUUCUCCACCGGUUGGGGACAAUCUGGUCACCUUGCUGCCCAAUCCGGACCUGGAGCCACCACAGCACGAGUGUCAAGUACUGGCAGAAGCCCAUGGGUGGAGGAAAGACCUCUGCGACUGGCUGAUUGACCCCUGCUGAAAGCCGAGGACCUUGUCCACAGACGGGAACAGUUCUCUUCAUGAAUGAAGGUCAGAGACAAGUGGGUGCUGCCAUGGUGGACAACACAAUGUCAUCUGGGAUGGCUGAACCUCUACCCCCCCCCCAGUACAUCAGCACUGCAGAUGCCUUUACCAUCUCUUGGAUGCCCUGGUGAAGCCAACA
rnacentral:lncRNA from 1 species